ACUUCCAGGCAGGGCCUCGAGGAAGUAGGUGAGCUUCUCCAUCCCUGUCUGUCUAGAUGCAGAGAACCCAAAGCCCUGCAGGAUGGCAAAGCUGCAACAUGGAAGUCACCCGGAUCACCACGUAAAGGAAAUCUCUCCAACCAGGAACAAACACCUGCCUUGCAAUAUUAGGUGGCCACCAGACUUUCUCUGCUUGUAUCCUCCCAGGACCACAGAACUCAUCGCAUCCCAAGGCAGCCUAUUCCAUCAUGGAUGAGCUCAAAGUGUUUGAAAGUUCUGCUUUAUCAAAACUCUUGAUGGCCUGCUUCCCAUCCUCCAUCCUGGAAGACUGAUCUGAAACCCCAGGAGGAGGUCCUCUGAGCCCUGAGGCAGAGAUCUCUCACCUGGAAGAUGGGUCUAAUGACUGCGCCCCACACACACCAGAGAGGACUGCAGAUAGUGCGGGAUGAGAGGAAGAUCUCUGGCCCUGGAGACAGCAUCAUCAAGCGGUAGCUUCAUCUUUGGGAGCUGGGGCCUCUGCAGGAGCUUUACCCUCCUCUCUCCAUGCUGAGCCUGUCUCAACCCCCUAACCUGCACCCCAGUCUUUUGGGGUCACCUCAAGGCUUUGGCUGAUGCUUCUUUGCUGACGUCAACCAAGGUGAUGGACCCAUUUGUCCUUGUAAAGUAACUCUUGAACAUACAGGCACUUCUCCCUCCCUCCUCUUGCUUUGAAGGGUGGGUGGGCACCUGCCACCAUGGUCAGGGUGAGGGCCAGCCCCAUACCCCCAAUGUCAGAAGGCAGCUGCCCCUGGCCUGUGGGUUUAUCUCAGAGGGGCCAGGUUUUCCUCACUGUGUGUCCCCAGCACCUAGCCUGGGGCCCAGCCCAGGGUCACACUCAGUAAAUACUGGCUGAGAAUUAAGGGGGAACUUUCUCGUUCCCCUCCAACACUUUUCUUUUCUUUUUUUUGAGACAGAGUCUCACUCUGUCGCCCAGGCUGGAGUGCAGUGGCGCGAUCUCGGCUCACUGCAACCUCCACCUCCCAGAUUCAAGUGAUUCUCCUGCUUCAGCCUCCCGAGUAGUUGGGAUUACAGGUGCCCGUCACCACAUCCGGCUAAUUUUUGUAUUUUUAGUAGAGACGGGGUUUUGCAUGUUGACCAGGCUGGUCUCGAACUUUUAACCUCAAGUGAUCCACCCGCCUUGGCCUCCCAAAGUGCUGGAAUUACAGGCAUGAGCCACCGCACCUGGCACCAAUGCUUUUCUGCAAGUGCUAGUGUGUGCCAUAGAGACAUCUGUGCAUGCCCAGGGGCGGCUGAGGGGCCAUAAGCCUCCUUUGACUCCAUUAUCUUGCCUGUGCAGGCCAGACGAUUGCCUGAACCCACAAUAGCUUCACCAGAAGAGGGGCUUACUCAUCACUUCCACACAACCUGUGCCCCUCCCCCACUGGGACCAGCUGGGGUUGAGGGGGUGAGGGUCAGGCUGGGGAAGGCUCCUGGAGAUUGCAUUUGCAACCUACCCCUCCCCUGCCAACCUCUAUUACCACACUGAGAGGAACAGGGAGACAUCACUAAAUUGAGGACCUAGGUAGAGAGAGAAGAAGAGAGUGUCCUGUCAGCCUUCAAAGGUUAUUCAGAGCUCUUGGUGCAGGAAGGCCCUGCUAGAAAACUCCAAGAGUCCAGGAGGGCCUUGGGCAUAAAAGCUCAGAGUUGUCCUCAAGAAGCAACUGCAUGGCAGUUAUAUCAGAUGCACAUUCAACAAUAAUAAUAGCAAAACCUUACACAGACCUACAAGCCCUUAUCCACACUUCAGAGAUCCCAGUGUUUCUGAACAAAAUAAUGUAACACCAAAACUCAUUGGGUAGCCAAAACCUAACCUGAACAGAUGUAUGAAUACUCGUAUAUUGUUUUCUGCAGAAAUAUUAAUGUGUUUCGUUAUGGGAUGCUAAGCCAGAUCCCACUACCCACUAGUGUGUUAUAUAAGUCAUGUGCUUUCCAAAAUCCCAAAACUCCCUAAAUUCCAAAAUGCAUCAGGAUCCUGAGACACUGGAGUUUCAGUUAAGGAGUUGUGACCUGUGUAGCUUCCUCCAUGACAGGCACUGUUCUAACUGCUCUCCAUAAUAUUAAUUCAUUCAAUCCUUACAAUGACCUGACAGAGUAGAACUUACUAUUAUUCUUCCAAUUUUAUAGAUAAGGAAACUGAGGCAGAGAGAGGUAAAGUGACUUGCCCAAACACAUACAGCUAAUGAAUGCUGCAACUGAAGCUUCCAGAGCCUAGUUCCAGAGCCCACUCUCCGAACAAGUCUACCAUCUAUUUCCCUUAAAAGGGCUGGUGAGGCCGGGCGCAGUGGCUCACACCUGUAAUCCCAGCACUUUGGGAGGCUGAGGUGGGUGGAUCACCUGAGGUCAGAAGUUUGAGACCACCCUGCCAACAUGGUGAAACCCCAUCUCUAUUAAAAAUACAAAAAUUAGGUGGGCGUGGUGGCGGGCACCUGUAAUCUCAGCUACUCGGGAGGCUGAGGCAGGAGAACUGCUGGAACCCAGGAGGCAGAGGUUGCAGUGAGCCGAAUCCGUGUCAUUGCACUCCAGCCCAGGCCAACAACAGCAAGAAUUCGUAUUAAAAAAAAGGCUGGUGAGAGGGGCGUGGAGGUUGAGGGGUGUGGUAAACUGUAGGAGAUAACGAUUUUAUGUUGUGUGUGUGCUAUGGUUUGGAUGUGGUUUGUCUCCUCCAAAAUGCAUGUAGAAACUUGGUCCCCAAUGUAAUGGUAUUGGGAGGUGGGGCCUUUAAGAGGGGAUUAGGUCAUUAGGAGGGAUUAAUGCCUUUCUCACAGGAGUGGGUUAAUUCUCACAGAAGUGGGUGAGUUAUUGAGAGCAGUUCAUUACAAAAGUGAGUUUGGCUUCCUCGGCUUUCUCUUGCUUCCUCGGCUUUCUCUUGCUUCCUCUCACCCUACGAUGCAUUCUGCUGUGUUACAACACAGCACGAGGCCCUCACCAGAAGCUGACCAGAUCCAGCCACCCUGUCUUGGACUUCCCAGCCUCCAGAACUGUAAAAAACAAACCCCUUUUCUUUGUCAAUUACCCAGUCCCAUGGGUUCUAUGACAGCAACAGAAAGUGGACAAAUUGUGUAACAUGCACAUGUCCAGGAGGGUGUGUGAGAGGUAAUCCUGUUGUUACGGUUGUUCUGUAGGGUGACCACAAUUGGGAAUUUCCCUGGGACUGUUUUGGUUUUAGCACUGAAAACUCUGUAUUUCAAUAAACUACUCAGACCUGGUAAACCAGGAUGGUUGGUCACCCUAGUUCUUGGCCUCUUUUCCUAUGAGCAACAUGAGGCUCAUGACCCACUGAGGAAGAUUCUAGGAUCUGAAGAUGCACUUUGUCUACAUAACACAGCUUCUCAACCCAAACCAGGAUCUCCAGCAGGCACUUACUCAAGACAUGGGGAAGAAGCCCCGGAGAAAAUGCUGGCUGUAUCAGAUUCAGUGAGGGACGAUGCCUCUGUCUCCACCUGGCAUCUUCCUAAGAGGUUUUCAAGGACCAAUGUGACUCUAUCAGGCUUUCACCUUGAGUGUUGAUGCUGGCCUCCAUUGUAAAUACAGUGGGAAUACACUUGAUAUUCUAAUUUAGAAAUGCCUGACUCUCAUCCCCAGCUUUGAAUUUUAACUCCUCAAAGUCCAAAGUGACUUCUUAGGAAUGACCCACACCAUGAGCUCAUAUCUAUCUUCCUGAGGCCUGCCCAGACCUGUCGAAGUAGAGAGAAGAAGACAAGGCCCCUGCUCUUGAGAAGCAGAAAACGUAUGAGGAAGAAAAUAGCAGAUGAGAAGAAUCAACCAAAUUCCGGAAGCUGGAAGGCAGAUGGAAGAAGGCCCUUGAAUGAUGCCAGCACCUUGAUAUUGGACUUUCCAGCCUCCAGAACCAUGAGCCAAUACAUUUCUGUUCCAUAAAAAUUACCCAGUUCCAGGUAUUCUGCUAUAGCAGCACAAAAUGGACUAAAACAAUGUUGGCACAAGACUCAGUGCUGGGCCUGGCAUGCAACAGGUCCUUGGAGUGGCGUGCUGUGUGGAUAAUGAAUAUUGGGGAAGGCAUCUCUCUCCAGCCCCUCUCAAGCUUUCUGUAGUCACUGGUCCACUCUGUAUUGCUAUGAAGAAGCUCAAGACCAGCCUGUAUCACUCGGGGUCCUGGCAGGAACCAGGUGCCACACUCAAACUGAGUAAUUGAAGAGGGUUUAAUAUGGGAGUUAUUUACAUAGGUGUGGGCUGGUGUAGCUGCCCAUAUGCCCUCAAAAUCACCUCUACAUGGCAAUAGCUACUUACUGCUAACAGAGUCUCUCUCUCAUUGCUGCAAAUAUUUUCUAGCCAUGCAAGAAACUCAGCCGGUCAUGUUGAACAAACUAAGAGUGCCAGGAAGUUAAUGUCCUGGAAGCAUUGCCAGAGGGGAGGGGGCAGUUAGAUUCCCCAGCUUCCUCGCUCCUCUGCUGGGUUAAGCCUGCAACAUAUUCAUCAUCUCCCAGAGUGCUGCCCAGGGAUAGAGCUCCAGGUGCUCAGUGUGGUGACCUGCUCAUGUCAGCUUCUUCCCCUUUCCUGUCUUGUUUCGCACCCACAUCCUUCCCAUGUUUCCUCUUCCCAAAUAAACUACUUGCAUUGAAAUCUUUGUCUCAGGCUCUGCUUCUGGGGAAACCUGAAC
rnacentral:lncRNA from 10 species